ensembl:snoRNA
ACCCCCUGACAAUGGGCAAAGAGACACCUUGGUGGUGGUGGCGUUCUUAUACCAUUCAGGGGCAGAGCAGAUGGCAGUCCUUUGUUCAUUCUAGUUUGAUGCCUGUCUUGAGGGUCAAAGCUGCUUUAUGCCUAGGAUACAUUA